rnacentral:rRNA from 1 species
AUCAAUAAGCGGAGGAAAAGAAACCAACAGGGAUUGCCUUAGUAACGGCGAGUGAAGCGGCAACAGCUCAAAUUUGAAAUCUGGCCCUUGGGUCCGAAUUGUAAUUUGUAGAGGAUGAUUUUGGUGCGGUAUCUUCCGAGUUCCUUGGAACAGGACGCCUUAGAGGGUGAGAGCCCCGUACGGUUGAAUGCCUAGCCUCUGUAAAUCUCCUUCGACGAGUCGAGUAGUUUGGGAAUGCUGCUCUAAAUGGGAGGUAAAUUUCUUCUAAAGCUAAAUAUUGGCCAGAGACCGAUAGCGCACAAGUAGAGUGAUCGAAAGAUGAAAAGCACUUUGAAAAGAGGGUUAAAUAGCACGUGAAAUUGUUGAAAGGGAAGGAUUUGUGACCAGACUUUUUCUGGGCGGAUCAUCCGGGGUUCUCUCCGGUGCACUUCGCCCAGUAAAGGCCAGCAUCGGUUUUCGGCGUGGGAUAAAAGCAGUAGGAAUGUGGCUCUCUACGGGGAGUGUUAUAGCCUAUUGUAUAAUACCGCGCUGGGGACCGAGGUUCGCGCUUCUGCAAGGAUGCUGGCGUAAUGGUUAUCAAUCACCCGUCUUGAAACACGGACCAAGGAGUCGAACAUUUGUGCAAGUGUUUGGGUGUUAAACCCUCACGCGUAAUGAAAGUGAACGGAGGUGAGAGCCCUUACGGGUGCAUCAUCGACCGAUCCUGAAGUUUUCGGAUGGAUUUGAGUAAGAGCAUAACUGUUCGGACCCGAAAGAUGGUGAACUAUGCGUGGAUAGGGUGAAGCCAGAGGAAACUCUGGUGGAGGCUCGCAGCGGUUCUGACGUGCAAAUCGAUCGUCAAAUCUGCGCAUGGGGGCGAAAGACUAAUCGAACCAUCUAGUAGCUGGUUACC